GAUGAACGCUGGCGGCGUGCCUAAUACAUGCAAGUCGAGCGAACAGACGAGGAGUUUGCUCCUCUGACGUUAGCGGCGGACGGGUGAGUAACAUGUGGAUAACCUAUCUAUUAGACUGGAAUCACUUCGGGACACCGUUGAUACUACCGGAUAAUAUCUUGAAACGCAUGGUUCAAUAGUGACAGACGGUUUUGCUGUCACUUAUAGAUGGAUCCGCGCCGCAUUAGCUUAUUGGGAGGGUAACGGCUUACUCAGGCAACGAUGCGUAGCCGACCCGAGGGGCGAUCAGCCACACUGGAACUGAGACACGGUCCAGACUCCUACGGGAGGCAGCAGUAGGGAAUCUUCCGCAAUGGGCGAAAGCUUGACGGAGCAACGCCGCGUGAGUGAUGAAGGUCUUCGGAUCGUAAAACUCUGUUAUUAGGAAAGAACAAAUGUGUAAGUAACUAUGCACGUCUUGACGGUACCUAAUCAGAAAGCCACGGCUAACUACGUG
rnacentral:rRNA from 1 species